UCCGAAGGGUGCAAGCGUUGUUCGGAAUCAUUGGGCGUAAAGCGCGCGCAGGCGGAUUAAUAAGUCAGGUGUGAAAUCCUGGGGCUCAACCCCAGAACUGCCCUUGAUACUGAGGAGCUUGAGUCCGGGAGAGGUGAGUGGAACUCCGAGUGUAGAGGUGAAAUUCGUAGAUAUUCGGAAGAACACCAGUGGCGAAGGCGGCUCACUGGCCCGGUACUGACGCUGAGGUGCGAAAGCGUGGGGAGAAAACAGG
rnacentral:rRNA from 1 species